rnacentral:rRNA from 1 species
GAUUAACGCGAAGAACCUUACCAGGGUUUGACAUCGCGGCGUAAACCAGGGAAACCUGGUCCCCCCGCAAGGGGCGCCGUGACAGAUGCUGCAUGGCUGUCGUCAGCUCGUGCCGUGAGGUGUUGGGUUAAGUCCCGCAACGAGCGCAACCCUCGGGGGUAGUUACUGUGUCUACCCCGACUGCCGCGACAAACGCGGAGGAAGGUGGGGAUGAUGUCAAGUCAGCACGGCUCUUACAUCCUGGGCUACACACACGCUACAAUGGACGCGACAAUGGGCCUGCCAAGCCGCAAGGCGGAGCGAAUCCCAGCAAAGGCGUCCUCAGUUCAGAUCGGCGUCUGCAACCCGACGCCGUGAAGGCGGAGUUGCUAGUAACCGCAGGUCAGCACACUGCGGUGAAUACGUUCCCGGGCCUUGUACACACCGAAUC